CCCGCCGAUAAAUCGGCGGGCUAUUCUCAGGCAUCCCUUCGGGAUU
rnacentral:sRNA from 1 species